CGAACGGGUGAGUAACACGUGGGCAACCUGCCCAAAAGAGGGGGAUAACACUUGGAAACAGGUGCUAAUACCGCAUAGCCAUAGUUACCGCAUGGUAACUAUGUAAAAGGUGGCUAUGCUACCGCUUUUGGAUGGGCCCGCGGCGCAUUAGCUAGUUGGUGGGGUAAGGCUUACCAAGGCAAUGAUGCGUAGCCGAACUGAGAGGUUGAUCGGCCACAUUGGGACUGAGACACGGCCCAAACUCCUACGGGAGGCAGCAG
rnacentral:rRNA from 1 species